ACCAAAGAAACAACCCGAUUCAUUUUCUCAAAACCGGGUCCGGGUCUUUAAACCUAAAAACCCAGAUUUCUCAUCAAACAAUGGGUCAGAUCAAGAAAUUCAAAACACCCAGAACCCUAUAUAGCAACCCCAAGAUGUAAACAGAGCGUCCGGACGGCGGUGGUGGCGUCUUGUAUAGUCAGAGAUGAAGAGGCAGCGUCUAGAACAUGGCUCUAUGAUUUGUGGGAUUCGCAUAGGCCAUAGGGUUUUCCCCUUUUCUGUUGUUCCUUUUUGAUGGCUGGCCUUUAGGACCCAUGGGUACUUUCUUGGAAUCCUGAUUCUUCACAAAUUUCUUA